GACGAACGCUGGCGGCGUGCCUAACACAUGCAAGUCGAGCGGGGUCCAUCCAGUGGCAACACUGGGGAAGACCUAGCGGCGAACGGGUGAGUAACACGUGAGGAACUUGCCCCGGAGUACGGGAUAACUCGAGGGAAACUCGAGCUAAUACCGUAUGCCCUCUUCUGGUCGCAUGGCCGGAUGAGGAAAGAUUUAUCGCUCCGGGAGAGCCUCGCGGCCUAUCAGCUAGUUGGUGGGGUAACGGCCCACCAAGGCAUCGACGGGUAGCUGGUCUGAGAGGACGAUCAGCACACUGGGACUGAGACACGGCCCAGACUCUACGGGAGGCAGCAGUGGGGAAUCUUGCGCAAUGGGCGAAAGCCUGACGCAGGCAACGCCGCGUGCGGGAU
rnacentral:rRNA from 1 species